GAUGAACGCUAGCGGCAGGCUUAAUACAUGCAAGUUGAGGGGCAGCAUGAUAUACGCGAGUAUAUUGAUGGCGACCGGCGGACGGGUGAGUAAUAGGUAGGAGACCUACCUCAUACAGGGGGAUAGCAUAGAGAAAUCUGUGGUAAUACCCCAUGAGGUUAUAUGAAUAGAGGCAUAUAAUCAAAGCAUAAGCGAUUAUGCGGUAUGAGAGGGGCCUACUGACCAUUAGCUAGUUGGUGAGGUAAGGGCUCACCAAGGCGAAGAUGGUUAGGGGUUUUGAGAGAGAGACCCCCCACAUUGGAACUGAGAUACGGCCCAGACUCCUACGGGAGGCAGCAGUCGAGAAUAGUCUACAAUGGCCGGAAGGCUGAUAGUGCGACGCCGCGUGAACGAGGGAGCCCUUUCGGGGUGUAAAGUUCUUUUCAUACGAGCAGUGCUAUAUAUAUGGAUAGUAUAUAUAGAGGGAUAGUAGUAUAA
rnacentral:rRNA from 1 species